CAAACCGACCAAAUAAACCGUUGAAGAAGAUGAACCAACCACCUACCCAUCAAUAAUGAUUGAAUCGUAAUGAUCGAUUCCAAUUUCUUAACCUAGCUGCCGUCGAGAAGAGGAUUAUCAAGAUGAAUCCAUCCUAGUAACCACAACCUAUAAACCAUAAUUCAAGAACCUUUGAUGCAAAUACUGGACGAGAAGAGCGAAGGCUAGAAGCUCUGUUUCGAAUGGUGGUAUCAAUGAUGGAGAUAAUGGAGUCCGCCGAUUUAAACUCAUUCCGAUGGUUCCGUUCCGACCAAAGGUUGUAGAUCGUCGCUUGCCAUGCUAGUAACUGAAGGCUCUUUUCAUACUUGCUCCCACUAUGAGACAGUAGCGAUGCCAUAGUAUCUUCCCACUUACGUCGUCGAGGUAACCUAGCUCAUCUUGCAAUAUCAUCCCAAAUACUCCAGGCGAAUGAGCAUUCAAAGUGGAGAUGAGACCUUGACUCAUUUGCAGAUCCGCAGAGAAGACAAAGUGGAUCCGUUUGAAGUCCCCACUUUAAAAUCCUAUCUCUUGUUGGGCAUCUAUCCAUGAUCACUAGCCAUGAUAAAAAUUUGUGUUUGGGAAUGCCUCCUGAGAACCAAACCAGAUCUGACCCAAGGCAACCCAUACUGAUCCAGAUUGGAAGAAUAGAAGCCAGAUCAAUUUGAGCAGACAAGCUUUACUCCAACUGGUUAUGUCUCGCAGUCCUAACCCUCCCUCUGCUUUUGCCAGACACAAACGACGAGCACCAAAAAUUAGUUAUUCCAGCAAUAACAGAGUUUAGGAGUUGGAGUCUCCCAGCAAAUGAUAGGGAUCUGGUUGACCAUGAAGACAUUCUCCCUUUUAUUUUUUUGGAUCAGGGGCUCGCAAUUCAAUAAGAGAAAGACUAGAUGAGAAGAAGGAAGUCUUUGAGAUACUCAACCCUAGUCCUGAAACACUUUCAAACUCUUUCAAUACUUGCAGAAUGUUCAUGACUGAGUCAGUAGUUCCUUCACAGAAAAUAAGUUAGUCAUCAGCAAAGCAUAAGUGGGUGAGUUUAGAGAUUUUGCACUUCGCGUGGUAACCAAAUUUCCCAUCUGCUGCAGCCUUGUUUAGGAGGAGAGAAACACAGUUCAUGGCUAUGACAAAUAGAUAAGGAGAGAGUGAAUCUCCCUGUCUAAGCCCUCUUUUGCCCUUGAAGUACCCAUUGACUGAGCCAUUGAAACCUACUGUGAAUGUAGGAGUACAAAUGCACGCUUCAAGCCACCUUAGGAUGAGGUCAGGCAGCAAGGGUUUCAAUCUUUUAACAAGAAGCUUUGAAAUAGCUUUGUAGAGGGUGUUACAGCAAGAAAUUGGUCUGAAGUCAGCUAUAGCAGAAGCUCCUGGUCUUUUUGGUACUAAGGUCAAUAUAGUGGAGUUGAGAGCAGAUGGCAUAAAUGAGGUGGAAAAGAAAUGAGAGAUCCCUGCAACUGUUUCUGAACCAAUGAUUCCCCAGGCGGACUUGAAGAAGGCAGAGUUGGGACGGAUGCCAUAACAGCUUGAGUAGAUGGGGAAGCUUUGAAUCCAGUAAGCGCUUGAAUCCAGGCUGGAGAGAUAAUCAAAGUUGGUAGACUUUCUGGAGCAAGGAUAUUUUGGAAGUGAUCGAUGGCAAGUCUACUCAUUUCAGAAGGGUCAUAGAUGAUGACACCCGAUAUAGUGGUGAAUGAUCUGAUGGAAUUUUGGGAGUUCCUCAUCUCAGUCACUUUGUGAAAGUAGGUAGUUAAGCUUCUUCUAUGAUUUUCAGGUAGUUAAGCUUCUUCUAUGAUUUUCAGGUAGUUAAGCUUCUCAGUAAGGUCUCUCUCUUGCUGGAAUAGCACAAAGACGCCAAUGUUACUGCCUCAUUCCCGGCAUGAAUCCAAGCAGUCUCAACAGUGGUUAGGAAGAGAGGAUGAGUGGUUAGGUAGUUCCAGAAUUUGAAGGGUUUGGACCCAAAUUGGGGAAGAGGAGAGGCUAAAUCAAGCAAGCACGGUGUGUGGUCUGAGAAAUCGGGAGGGAGAAAGGAGGCAAUACUGUUAGAGUAAGCUUGAAGCCAGUUAUUGUUCACUAACAACCUAUCCAGCUUUUUUGCUAUUGGAUUUUGAGGCCUGUUGUUCGUCCAUGUAAAGCUGGAGCCUUGGUGUCUCAAAUCAAAUACUUCGAAGCUGAGUAGGGCGUCUCUAACCUCAGUCAUUCUGGUAGAGUAGGAGUUUACUGCUGGAUUUGAGUGUUCUUCAGGAUGAGUUAUCUGAUUGAAAUCACCUCCAAUUACCCAGACUCUUUAAUCCAGAUUUAGGUCUUGUUUUAAUGCUUGAAGGUUGAGCCAUAACUGAGUUCUUUCAUCUUCUAGGUUUGAAGCAUAAAUAGCAGUGUAGAUAAAACUUGUUCCUCCAUAAAUUUGAAACUCAACUGUGAGAGAUUGUCUAGACUGAUGCAGGACUGAUGCAGUGAUCGAGUUUUUCCAGAUGAUUACAAUUCUUCCAUCUUCAUCUGACUGGUGGUUUGAAGCAAAAUUCCACCCAGGGCAUGUACUGAUCAUAACUUGGUUCAGAUUCAUUUCCUUGAUAUGAGUUUCCAAAAGAGCACCAAAAAGUGGUUGAUGACUAAAUGCAUUGUUAAAGUUGUCAUGCCAUUUAAUAUGAUCGCACUACUCCAGUUCUACGAAGAAUUGAAGAUACUAAUAUUCCAAAUAUUUUGAUACGAGACUCAAAUUAUCAUGAUUCAUAGGACCAUUAUGAUAAUAUGUGCUUUAAUUAGUAUUUUUGUUAGCA